rnacentral:lncRNA from 1 species
UUUAAUUUACUUUUCUUUAUUUAUAUACCCUAAUCUUAAGUGCCACAAAAAUAGAUUAUCCAUACAUACAUAAGCAUCAAAAGAGGCAUCAAAAUAACCAGAAAAUGAUGAACUUUCAUUUAUAUUCAGUUGGUACAAAUUGUCAACUUUAGUACCAUACACCAAUGCUCUAGAAUGCUUUCCAAUGGUAACCUGACCAGACUUGAACCUUAUUUCAUACUUUUGUCGUCUAGCCUAGGGACAUAAAUCAAAUUGCGUCUUAUAUUGGACGCAUACAAUGUAUCAGUCAAUAAGAGAUUUGUUCUUCCUGGUAAACACAGCUUGAAAGUACCGACACCUAGUACAUCAC